rnacentral:rRNA from 1 species
GACGAACGCUGGCGGCGUGCUUAACACAUGCAAGUCGAGCGGUAAGGCCCUUUCGGGGGUACACGAGCGGCGAACGGGUGAGUAACACGUGGGUGACCUGCCCUCAGCUCUGGGAUAAGCCUGGGAAACCGGGUCUAAUACUGGAUAUGACUCCAUGACGCAUGUUGUGGGGUGGAAAGCCUUGUGCGGCUGAGGAUGGGCCCGCGGCCUAUCAGCUUGUUGGUGGGGUGANGGCCUACCAAGGCGACGACGGGUAGCCGGCCUGAGAGGGCGACCGGCCAUACUGGGACUGAGACACGGCCCAGACUCCUACGGGAGGCAGCAGUGGGAACCUUGCGCAAUGGGCGAAAGCCUGACGCAGCGACGCCGCGUGAGGAAUGACGGCCU